CCGAGAUAAAGAAGGAUUGGAUCUCAGAGAUGAUCAUAUCUCCAAUUGUAUCCCAGUUAGAUUGAAAAAAGCUAGCAGAAAAACCAUCGGGUCCUGGAGCUUUAUCUGCAUGGAUAGAGAAACAAGCUAGCUUGAUUUAUGUGGGUGUUGGCAUUAAGAUAAGCUUAUCAUUCAUCUCUUUAGUGACACAUAGGGAGAGGGCUUCAUUGACCACAGUGGUUCUGUCUCCUUCCUCAGGGGUAAAAAUUUGAGUAAAAUAAUCCGAGAUGACCUUCACUAUGUCACUUUCUUCAUAGACAGGUACACCACUUGCAGACUCUAAGACAGAGAUGGUAUUAAUGGCUCUUCUUCCUUUUGUUGCCGCGUGAAAAUACCCAGAAUUCUUGUCUCCUAAAGCCCCAUAGUUGUCUACUACGUUGCUUCCAAAAUUCUUCUUCGUUUUUGUGAUGAUGGCAGUUCUGCAAAGAUGGAUUCUCUGGUCAACCAUAGCAGAGGGGAUCAAAAGAUGUGACUAGAGGGCGAUGAUCGGAGCCUUCAAUCCUGAGGUACUCACUGCGGCCAGAUGGGUAAUCAAUUAUCCAGUCACUAUUAGCCAUAGACCUAUCCAGUCUACACCGCACCAUGUCUUGGAGGGCCACCAACCUUUUCAGAACUGCAAAUGAUAUCAUUGAAAUCACCAGUUAACAUCCAGGGACCAGUUCUUGAUGCAGCUAUAAUAAGCAAUUUAUCCCAGACUUGGACUCUUUUAGAGCGAUCAGGCUCCCCAUAAAGGAAGGUAGAGAAGAACGACUUUCCUUUUGCCUUAAUGAUUGUAUCAAUAUAGUUUGGACAAGAAUCAAUAAUCUCUACUUCAAUACUUUGCUUCCAGAAAAGGG